ACCCAGCUGACGAGUCUCAAAUAGGACGAAACGCGCGUGCUGGAU
rnacentral:hammerhead_ribozyme from 1 species